rnacentral:rRNA from 1 species
AGGAACAGCCAUUGCGAAGGCAGCUCACACGACAGCACGUGACGUUGCAGCGAGAAAGUGUGGGGAGCAAACUGGAUUAGAUACCCGGGUAGUUCACACCCUAGUCUAAGUAUCCUUGCAGUAGACCCGUUGGGCCAGGCGCCUUAGUUAACGUGUUAAGCAAUCUCCCUGGUACGCACGGACUCAAGUUUGAAACUAAGACGAUUUAACGGGGACCCGCACAAGCGGUGAAGGAAGUUGUUUAAUUUGAAGCAACAGCAGAAACGAAUCGACGUCUGCACAUCCUUGGAAUCCAUGAGAGAUCAGGGAGUCUCCUUUGGGGAACCGAGUGGCGGGUGCUGCAUGGGAGUUGUCAGAGGGUGAUUUGAGAGGUUCGGUUAAGUCUUGCAACGAGAGCAACGCAGUUCAGUACCCGCGAUCAUUUCGGCUGGGAACUGUAUUGAUCCGUCAGGCGAUAGCACGAGGAAGGAAAUUCCCCAGUGUAGUCUGCAGUAUCAGUACGGCCUGGGUUUCACACCCAGUGCGAUGGCUAGGAUUAUCAGACCAUACCCGGAGCGGGGCCGUGAAGAGCUAAUCCCGGUCCCAGUUGAGAUUCAGGUGCGCAAUUCUAUUGGGGCAAUAAAGAAUUUACUAGUUAUCGCAGAUCAGUCCAUGCUGCGGUGAAUCAGUUGUUGUGGUCUUGUACCCACCGCCCGUCAAACCAUGAAGCAAGUUGCACCCAAAGAACGCGUAGCCCCGCCAAUAGGCCAGGUGUUAAGCAGUCGCUCGUGACUGGGGCUAAGUCCUAACAAGGUAACCAAGGGCGAA